UCGGCGCAACCGGCUCAUUUGGUCGCGAUCGUUGUCGUAGUCGAUACACGCCUGCACUCCGUCCCCGUAUUAGUUUUUUUUUUUUGUCUUUUUCGGACAGUUAACAUUACUACAUACGAAACUGAAAUCACAAAUCGUCGUCACGCUAUCGAGUCAACUGUAUAAUCAAAGCGGCUAUCGAAUCGAUAAAUCGAGGAAUACCGCAACGCGACGUUAUCUCGUAUGUACACUUAUGAGCAACUAGAGCAGGUGAGUGAUCCGAACUUAUUAUAACAGCAACAACGUCCGAUACGAUUGUUUUCAUUUUUACAAUCGUUUUGGAUGCAUACACACGCAUUUGCUGUCUCCGCAUUCUUACAAGCGCACGACAUUCGCAUUGAGCAGAACCGAUUUUGUGCUUUUAGUUUUUAAUUUCGGAGUGAAAUAUUAUUGAACUGCGUUUGUACGUUGGUUUUUCCGACAUUUUAAUAUUUUAACCGAAAGACAAGUAUUCUUGUGGCAUUACACACAAACACACACACACACUCAUAUAUCGGUUAGAAAUUAAAACGACGCGCAAACGCUGUAGAUAAUGGUCUUCCCUUAAAUAUUGGUAUAAUAGGUUAAUUCAAAAUAAUAUUAAAUCUUAAAACUUGAAAUCGGUUCUGCUAAAGUUCAAUUUGGCUAUGUCGCACGCUUGCAUUUUAAGGGAUGAAUUAUGCAAUUACUAAAACAGCUGCUUCUAAGUACUAAACCGGUCUUAAAUUCGGUACAUUUUAUUUGUACACUUUAUUCGAUAGAACGAUAUGACGUAUAUGAAAGUUUAUGUAUUCUAUAAGUAUAAUUUUACCGUUGUCGUUGUGUUAUCAUUACUAUUUUAAUCCGAAUUAAAUAAUUUUUAUCGCGCGCAACGACGAGCUUAUACUAUACAUUUUAAUAAAAAACCGAAAACACAUAAUAUAGGUCUACGAGUAAAAUUACAAAUACAUAUGCUUUAGCACUUGUAGUGCGACUCAAAUGAUAUGUUCUAGUUGUACGUUUCAUAUGUUAUACACAGUUAAUAAAAACAUAUAGGACAGGCCGAAUUUCAGCUCGUUGCAAUUAUGAUGUAGCCAGUGUACACUAUACAUAUUGUGUUGUAUGUUAUUAUUAGUAUUUUGAUCGUAAAUAUAAUGUUCUUUCACGGUAACGUUUUACGAGAUGAAAAAAAUAAAUGCAAACGGUGCGUAGAAAAAAAAAUUAAGAAAAUACUGUUUAUUUUCGUGCGAUAUCCACAAAAAACCGGUUUUAUUCAUAAAUAGCGGUGUGUGAUAGUUAAAUUUUAACUAUCGGUUGCAAAAUAUUAUGAAAACAAAUUUUUUAAAACAUUUUCAUCGAUAAUAUUAUCGAAACUAUGGAAGUUCAGUCGAAAAAAUAUUCAAGUUAAAAUACCAUGGUUUUUACGAUUUUUGUAAAAAUUUUAACAUAAAACGCUUAUAAAAAAACUAUACUACAUUACGUUAAAUUUUCAGGCAUUUCUGUUCGGCUAAAACAAAAUGAUCCGUAUAAAUCCGAAUAAGAACUAAAAAAAAAAAACAAACUCAAAAAUGCUAAAGGGCUAUUAACAGCUAAAAAUAGAUCAGAACAUUGAGAACCACGUCUAGAAAAACCUAGCAAAAGUAUUUUGAGGAAAAAUCAGAUUUUAGUCGAAUUAAACAAUAUUUCCGUAGCCAAUAUAAAACUUCAACUUAAACUUUCAUUUAAACUUUUUAGAUUAUUUUUUUUAUUAAUUUCAAAACAAAUUUAGCAUAAAUGUUAAUAAAUCGUACGACGAAUAAAAAAUAAUUUCCGGAAAAUAUAUAUGCCUAUAUUGCCUAUACAUACAAUUUUUUUUUUUUAUUCAUUUUUACAUCUGGUCUCUUUUUUUUGUAUUAAGUAAAGGUACAAUAAAUUAAAUAUUCCAAUGUUUUACCUUGACGUUUAUUUUAAAGAUCACAUAGAACGGUAAAACGUUUUCAAAAUCCGCGAGAAUAUAAAUAUAGGUACUCUACUAUAUUUUAUUAUCAUUAAUUUUUGCUAUACUGUUCAAUUUUCAUAAUUCGUUUUAAAAUCCGCGUAUAAAUUAAUUAUCGUUGCCUUGUAGUGUACAUAUUGUAAAGCCAAACAAACCGCAAAACGUGCAAAUAAUAACGAACAGGAAUGAAAAAUUGAAAAUAUUACAUUUUUUUUUUUCCCGUAAACAAAUAAUGUUUGAACUAUACACAGUGUGUUGUAGUUAUUCGAUUUGUGCAUACGCUCGUUUAUGGUGAUUUGGAUAUUAUUAUUUGUGCGCACAUCAUAAGUUUAUUACUUUAUACCUAUAGAUGUAUAUUUUUUUUUUCGUAAUAAAUAAAUAUUUGUCGAACUUAUUAUUUGAUUUUCACCGGUGGCGCAGCGGCGGCAGCGACAGAACUUUGCCGGUUUUAUGUAAAGUUUUUCAUUCGGCGGAAAAUCGGAGAUAAAAUAUAAUAUACAGUGCAGUGUGAUUUGAUUUGGCAAAAUGUACACGAAUUCGACGAAUCGUAAUAAAUUCUUAUAUAACGAAUCGCCUUGUAAAUUUUUUUCAAAAAUAAAUUUCGGUAGGUAUAUUAUGUAGAUGGGUCGUACGAGUAUAUAUGAUGCAGGGUUAGGACGAUUUGCGUAAAAAAACUUCGUUUUUUUUUUUCAGUGUUAAAAUAUCAAAUUACCUUUAUCACGCGCAGUAUUAUUCGUACAUAUUGUAACUUUUAAAGCUUAAAGCGUUUUUUCUUUAAUGUACGUAUAUACCGAACUGCAACACCUAUAAGUGGCGUGUGCUGAAAAGGGGGCAUGCCAGGGGUUAAGAUUGGGAAAUACCAAAGACUUUAAAAUAGAACAACUAUAAGCGUUUAUUUAGUAGUUUUAUUGAAAUAAUAUAAAUUUUAGCUAAAAUACAAGGGGAGAAAAAAGUUCGAUUUAUAUUAAGAAUAAAAAUUGGCUUUUGGAUACGGCUAUUCAAUUCUCAUUGUCGUACAUCAGAAGAAGAUUAUAAAAUACGUUUUAUUCACGAAUCUUGAUUAUUAUUUAUAAUGCAUCCCCUCCCGUUGAAAAUUCCUGGGUAAGCCACUGAUUCCCGUUUACAUAUAUACAUAUAUAAGGGUGUGAUGUUUAGAACAAUAUAUGUUUUCAUCGACUCGGCGGAUUAUUCGGUAAACAUAGAAACCUAUAUUACCUACUGGUUUUUUUUAUUCUUUUUUUUGUUCAUAUAAACGUGCAGUACGUUAUUUCGUAUAUCUAAUUUGGCGUUAUAUUAACGGGAGGGGCCGCGAUUAUAUUAGUAUAUAUAUACACUCGUGACACGAACUCGGGAAAAAGUAAUUUCCUGUUUGUUUUUGGCGAGGAGUUAUUGGGAGUCGGGAAUUACCGGACUUAUCGUAUAUUAUACGACGUCCGUGUCACACCCGCCGCCGCCGCACCGCGAAAACAAGACGAAAUCCUUUGCAUCAUCGGGAUAAUCUUAUUCCGAAAUCGUCGCGGGUCUUUAUUACAAAUUGUAAAAUAUUACACGGAUAGAAAUUCCCGCCUGCAGUUCGUAGACAAACGCACGCGCGAAGAGAACAAACGAGAAAUGCCCCUCGCACAAAAUGGCUGCCCACCCCCGAAAUAAUAAUAAUAAAAAAAAAAAAAAUAAAAAUAGAACGCCGGGGGUGGCGGCGGACUGUCAUGGUAUACAGUCCAAAUGUUUGCGACUACCGCACCCCCGGUAUAUACGCACCGUAUACAUACCGGAAAUAAUAUCAGUUUUUCUUCAUAUUGAUUAUUCUGCCAACUUGCUCGGAAUAGUCAGCGGCAGAGGAGGGAGUUACGAGGACGACGACUACGACGACGACGUUGAGGGAAAAAGUAUAUACGUGUGUGCAUAUCCCUCGACCCUUUUUUCCACAUAUUCCCUUCUUUUUUUUUUCUUUUUUUUUUUUAGACGUAUGUGCACGAAUAAAUAUUGAGAGUAUUUUCCGACAGGCAAAACGCUUCUUUCGUUUUCCACCCCUUCUUUUCGAACGUGUCCCCACGGACUGACGUUCAAUAAAUGUAAAAGGGGAAAAAAACUCGGCAGGUAUAGCAGGAUAUAAUAUAAUAUUAUAUAUGAUGCAAUAUAGAAAAAUAUAAUAUUUUUGUACGAUGUGGAAUGGUUUUUUUUUAACUAAAAAAAAAUUACUACCUACCUAUAUCUACUAAAAGUAAUACCAAUAAAAAUGUAAAAUGAAAAUAUUUGUAUUAUUUUCAUACGUUUCUGUGGCAUAUCGUUUUACUAAAAUUUAUUUGCCUCGAACGACGCGUCAGAAAUAACUGAAUCCAUGUUUAAUAUAAUAUAUAUUAUUUAAAUUAUUUGAUAAAAUACACAUAUUGUGUAAUAAUCUAGUACUUAAUCAUAAUUGUAUAUGUAGUUAUAAUUUACAGUUUGAAAUAAAAAAAAAUUACAUUAUACCACACGAUAUAGGUAUUAGAGUUGAAAAAUAUUGAAGUAAUUUUGUCAUAAAUGUAUAUAUUUUGUAUUAGUCAAAUUACUCGGUAUUUUCCGGACUCACCAUUAUCCCUAUCACAACUAAUUAUUAUUGCCCUUUAGUUUGUCAUAACUAAAAAUGUACUUAUUUAUCGUCUUUGACAACCAAAUAAUUGAAAUUUUUGUUUUAUAUUACAUCCAUGAUGUCACCAAGAAAUGUAAUCCAGAAGUCAACUGACAAUAAUUUCGGAUUUUUUCGUAUUCGAAUAUCCAAAACUAAACGUGUGCUACCAUUUUUUAGGUUAAGAUUCGAAGUAAAAAAUUGACGGCUUUUUUCCCCUCAUUUUGAACGCCAAGCGUGAAAUUUAUGUUCCAUCGAGAUUAGAAUCGACCCUAGAUUUGUAUAGCUGACAGACAGACUUUAAAUUAUGUACAAUCAUAAGAUUAUCUGUACUUGAAAACGUCUAAAUUAUUGCAAUAUGUAUUCGAGUAAUACGCAACGAUCAGAAAAAAUAUAAAUUCGUAUACAAAAGUGUAUGUACCUAAAUACGAAUCUCGAGAUAACAAAAAAAUACUUAUCGUUUUCUAAAUGUCGACUAAGCGGUUGACACUUACGCUAACAACAAUAUGUAUUAUACGUGAUAUAUAUCAAUGUAAACUAAACAAAAUUAAUGGUUAUUAGUAUACCGUCCUAUAAAAUAAGUUAUGUAACGAAAACAAAGUGCCUGAACUGAUGUACUUGCACUUAGGUCGACAAUAAUAAAACCAUUAAAAUGCAUUCACCACGAGCAGUUUGUUAAGAGAAAAUCGUCGUCCGAUGACGAGAAAUGAACAGAUAACCUCAUAAGUUUUAUUUCAUUAUAAAUAAGUUAUAGAAUAUUAUAUAAUAAAGUAUAAAUUAUAAUUCAUGUAAAUGAUCGAAAUCACAAUGUUAAAUAAGUUAUUUUUGUUUUUGUAAUUCUUAUUGGUUAUUGCUUUAUCCCGUAAUGUUAAGUUUUUGAAUUUUUGAUUUUUCGUUAAUUUUUUUUGAAUAUUUUUUUUUAUAUACGGCGUUUUCGGAAUGAAUAUAUAAGGAGAACUUUAUGUUAAACAUGUUUUCCGUAUCUAAUUUUACAAUCCAAUUCUAUUUUACAAAAGGUAUUCGUAUAAUUUAUAUUGCCAUUCACAAAGUAUACAACCAGUCGGUGGAUGUGAUCGGAGUAAGAUACUGGAAAACCCAACGUUUGUGUACCCCGGGAGACCCUGCAAAAGAGUUGCAUCGAAUAAUAAAAAGUAUAGAGGUCACGCGAUUAAAAGGAAGAAAACUGCUGCAGCGCUUAUAUUGGAAAAAUUUCAAACGAUCCAAGAGUUGUAACUUUUGAAUUGCUGAAAAAGAAAAGCCAAUUGAUAGAUUAAAAUCGGAUUUAUACGAAUUAUAAUCAUGGCAAACACGCGAUACUAUACACGACGGACUUAGACAUAAUUAUUAACGCAGAAAAUUGUAUAUUUUACUUUAAACGAGUGAUGUUAAGAAAGCUCAUUCUGCGAGUUAGCAAAGUUGCCGGAUUCUGAGUAUAUUUUAAACGAUAAACUAUGAUUCCAUAUACAAUUUUGAAAUAAUUCGUUAACCUAUAGUAUGCCUAUGUGUAGAAACCAGUACAAGUUAAAUAUUUUAAUUUGUAAAUAGUUGACAGUAUAGCGUUUUUAAAAUUUUGUAAAUAUUUAUACUAUGGUACGUAUACCGGUAUGGAACUUUUUAAUAUCAGUUAGAUUGAAUUCACGUCUUAAAUAUCGUACGAAAUUUUCAAACAUGCCUAUGAUCCGAACAAGUUAAAAAAAAAAUCCACGAAAACAAUUAAAAAAACAAUCCUAAGAAAUAAAUCGUGAAUAAAUUAUUUUAUUUCAUAUGAAUGACCUAACAGUAACUUGUCUAAAAUAUGAUGAAAACGCAAAUAUAAUUUCAUAGAUUGUAUAAAAAAUGUAUUUAAGAAUCAAUUAUUAUCAUAAAAAAAACGACCGUAUACGACAUACGAAUUUCUAUAAAUACGCAAAAUUGUUUCUAAGGAUUAAGAAGACGUGAUGUGUGGACUCUUUUUACAAACGACGUACGGCAUACCAAAUUUGCAAUCAGCCGAGACAAUUAUAUGCCGUUAGUUGUUGUUUUUCGAUAUUUUAAUUAUUAUACGAAGUUUGGAUAUGUGAAUUAUCAGGGUUUAAAAAUGUCUUUUAUCUCGUUUUUUAUUCUUAUCCUCCGCCUCCGUCCUGACUAUCCGACUAGAAUCGGGCAUCCUCGUCCUAAACUCCCAUUCGAUCCGGUCUCCCAUCUCGCGUACAACGGCUAUCCUCAUUCUCUGCAAUCACAUGCCCAAACCAUCUCGAUCUAUUUUCUUUCAUUUUGUCUAUAUCUUGUUGGAAAAUUAAAAUAUCGUAAGAAAAACCUCAUCGAUAGUUGUACAGAUAAUGUUCUUGUCUUUGAGUUUGAUGAUUACGGGCGCGAUUAAUUCACUAUAAACUAUAAACAAUUAACUAUAACCGCACGUGCGGUUAUCGCGUCCUUUUAACGAGUAACGAUUAUUGUAUAAAAGCAAAAAUAAAAACGAACGCAUCAGUUUCCCGUUCUGUUCUAAUUUGUUAAAAUAUAUAAUGUGUACGCGGAAAGGUAUAGAAGAAAAAUUAUCGACAAACGAUUGCGUUACCUGUGCGGGAAAACGCGGUUUACAAAACGGCAAUCCUGCGACGCGCGGAGGAGACACGAGCGUUUGUUAUCGACCGGCACUUUUACGCGAAUGACUAAGAAAAAACGAUUUUCAUUGCGACGUCUGCUGCAGCGGGGUGGCGUUAAUGACGGCAGCGGCGGCGACGGCAAUGAAGCGAAAGUGGGUCGGUGGGGCAACGUACUCGCGAUGCAGCCGAUGUAUAGUAUUAAAGAAACGCAUUAAAAAAAAAAAAAAAAAUAAUAAUAAUAAUAAAAAUCCCCUGAUGAGACGCGCGGACGGUGAGAAGGGAACGCUCUGCCCCCGCGCACCUCGUAAUAAUAUGGCGACGGCGGCGGUGUCGGCGGCGGCGUCGGCGGCGGCGGUGGUGCGCGUCGUCAUCGUCGUCGCCGACGUAGGGUGGUUAAUGAAACUACGCCCCCGUCGUCGGCCGCGUCUCGUCCAUUGGGCGCGCAAAUUACCCCCUCGCGCGUUCGUCCGCCGCACCACCCUGCGGCGCGGCACGGCCGCCCUAAUACGCUUCGCGUAAUAUGCGCGGCGGGCGGAGGGACAAUAUAAUACGUGCGUAUAUAACAUACAUAUAUAUAACUCGUGCGGGGAGCGUAACGCGGGAGCCUUUGAACGUAAUAUUAUAAUAUUGUAGUAACCUUGACACUGAGAACGAACAGCCGCCGUUGCCGCCGCCGCCCGAUUAAUGACGACCGUCCCCGUCCCAUCCCUCGCGCACCGCGUGCAGCUAACUCUCCGCGACGACGUAACUCAUUAGCAUAUUAUACCGCCGCCGCGUACAUAAUCGAUCGGUCGCCGCCGCCGCCGGAGCGCACAAACAACAGAUGAUUGUUAUUAGCGCCGGCGACGUACGUAGUAGUUAGCAGGCGGUCUCGACGCGAUUUUCGCGCGCGUCCCUCUGCCGCCAACAGCUGUUUUCCGUAAUAAAGUUUUUUCAACCGUCGACCGCGGAAUUUCAUCCCCGUCCCUAAUUAUCGUACGGCACGACAUUCCACGUGUAGGAAGCGCGCGCUGUUUUCGACCUUCGUUAUUCACACCCGUUUUCGAAAGUAAACCGCGAACCGGCGUUUUUCCCGCUUCACGUACAACUUUCGGUUUUUCACACCGACCGCGUUUCAGGUUCACGCUAUCGGGAACAUUAUUAACUACCCCGGAAAUACGCUUAUUAUAACAGAAGUAUCGCGCGUUAUCGAUAUUGUAAAUGUGCGGUAAGCAAUCGGAGAGCCGCAGAAUACGGUCCUAUUAAGCCUAUCAAGAGCCAAUCUCUCGGUUCGUAUAAUAUUAUACCACAACAGAUCAGGAAAGAAUCGAAAAUUAGAUGGAAAGAAGCAGCUAUAGAUCGGGACGGGUGGCGAUAUUUGUGUUUAGCAGUAUGGUCUUAAAGGCCGAAACUAAGAAAGAAGAAGAAAAAGAAGAAGAAGAAAUACUCGUAUCGUCUAUGGUUCUAUAACCAUCUUGUUUUCGGUCUUUCAACGUUCCUCGUCUUCCGUGUGAUUUAUCCAUUUUUAAAACUAUGCUCUUACACACCCCUGACUCGCAUCUCUUUUCAUCGUUUAUUCGAAUCACCCGGGUCAACUAUAGAAACUACCCUUAUGUUUCUUAUUCUAUUUUCACUAUCGCACAUACGUGGACUUCAAUCGUCCGUCGCUAAGCCGAAAAUCGUCGUUUACGCAAAAGUUUCAAUUAUAAACUGUGUAGGGCCCGGCCGUAUCGAUGCCGACUGACAAACUGAUUUUCAAGUCGUGAUACGUUUCAAAUUUUUGGUUACACGCUGCAGUUAUUUACACGACGAAGAACAGUCGAAUAUAGCGAUAAAACGUAUGAAGACAAAUAUAUAAUAUGCAUUUGUUUUGUAUCGUAUGUAUACAAUUUAAAUGCUAUGUGUCUGUACUUGUACAUACAAAUCUACAGUUUUAUUCCGAUCGUUGUGAAACUUUGCACACUAGAUAUUCAAAACAAUUAGGAUAAUCGCCGUCUACUUUUCAAUCCGAAAUUAAACCUCUAAAGUGUGGCUAACACAAGGUUUUUGGUAUCUUUGGAACGGAGAUGGAAUUUUUUUAUUUUUGUUGAUUUACGCGUUACCCCGACAACACGGAUAAAUAAAAUGCUAUUACCUAUUUAUUUAAUUUGGCUGUCACAAAUAAGAAAAUACGGCCUUAUUGAAUAGAUAAAUUAUCUGACAACGAUUAAUAAGGAUAGGAAAUAAAAGUGAAAACGGGGAGACGCGGUAAAAUUAAUUUGUUUUAUUAAUUUUCGUUUUCUGAUUUCCGGGGAAUCCAGCUAGUACGUUAUAAUAGAUUUUGAUAAAGUCUAUAACGCCUCAAGGUGAUUUAUACAAAUCAUCCUAAUUCCAAAGACAAUAAUUUAAAAACGCAUUGUAUAACAAUUAUUGUAUGUACACAACUCAUUAAUGUAGUGAAAAUUGUAUAGUUUAGUAGUAAAUGUAUAAUUGAAUAAUACUUCGACAACGAUCGCGAGUGUUUAAACGGAAUAAAGAGACUUUUAGAGAGAUUUUAAUGUUUAAAUAAAUAGUAAACAAUUUUAGUAUUACGGAAACGCCCAAAAACGUACACCAAAUUAUAGCAGUCUUACAUUGGCGAAACUAACGUGGAUUUCGAGAAAAGGCGAAUUCUCGAUUUUGUUUUUUUUUAGAUUUAGAGGUGGGUAAAUGCUCACCACUACGAUAACUAAAUAAAUAAUCGAACUAGUUUACUGAAAAUUUGGGAAAAUAUCCGCGGGCUAGAUACUAUAAAUAGAUUAUGCGUAGAUUCUGGGUUAUUUUAGGUUUCUUUCGUCACCGAACGUAUGAAGGUAGGUUAAGCUAUUUUAUUUCAUAUCCGUAUUCUCUGUAAUCUCGUAACUCGAAAUAGAUGGUCCGCUCGAAUUUACGGAAAAAAAAAAAAAAAAAAAAAAAAACCAUAUCUAUACACGGUAUAAGAAAAUAAUGAUAAAACGAAAGAAUUACACGGACCGUUGACACGGAAAUAAUGAAAAAAUAAUAACAAUAAUAGCCCACCAAAUUUACAAAUACAUCCAAUAUUUGUAUGUAUACCUGUAUACAUGAUAUUAUAUCAUAACGAAAACUUAUUAAAAAAAAAAAAACCGCGUAUUUAUUUGUUUGCUUUCUAUGUUACAGGUACAACAGAUACGUGCGGACGACCGACAAAGAGUUUAACGGGAAAUCGUUUGUUUCUUUUUGUUUUUGCGGCACCGAUAUUGAAAAAUCUAUUAUUUUUUUGUUUUUUUUUUUUUUUUGUUUGUAUGAAAUAAACGUCGUUUACUCCGCAGG